ensembl:snRNA U6 U6 spliceosomal RNA
UUGCUUCAGUAGCACAUAUACUAAAAUUAGAAAGAUACAGAGAAGAUUAGCAUGGACCCUGUGCAAGGAUGACACACAAAUUUGUGAAGCAUUCCAUAUUUUA